rnacentral:rRNA from 1 species
CCUACGGGAGGCUGCAGUGGGGAAUAUUGCACAAUGGGGGAAACCCUGAUGCAGCCAUGCCGCGUGUGUGAAGAAGGCCUUCGGGUUGUAAAGCACUUUCAGCGAGGAGGAAAGGUUGGCGCCUAAUACGUGUCAACUGUGACGUUACUCGCAGAAGAAGCACCGGCUAACUCCGUGCCAGCAGCCGCGGUAAUACGGAGGGUGCAAGCGUUAAUCGGAAUUACUGGGCGUAAAGCGCACGCAGGCGGUUGGAUAAAUUAGGUGUGAAAGCCCCCGGCUCCACCUGGGAAUUUCAUUUAAAACUGUCCAGCUUGAGGCUUGGAGAGGGGGGUAGGAUUCCAGGUGUAGCGGGGAAAUGCGUAGAGAUCUGGAGGAAUACCGGUGACGAAGGCGGCCCCCUGGACAAAGACUGACGCUCAGGUGCGAAAGCGUGGGGAGUAAACAGGAUUAGAUACCCCUGUAGUC